ensembl:snRNA U6 U6 spliceosomal RNA
GUACUCACUUCGGCAGCAAAUAUACUAAAAUUGGAAUGAUACAGAGAAGAUUAGCAAUGCCCCUACGCAAGGAUGACAAAGUUAAUAUGAUGGUUAGUUGUU